rnacentral:rRNA from 1 species
GCCAUGCUAGUUGUACGAGUUCAGACUCGUAGCAGAUAGCUCAGUAACACGUGGCCAAACUACCCUAUGGAUCCGGACAACCUCGGGAAACUGAGGCUAAUCCGGAAUACGACUCUCAGCCUGGAAGUGGCGAGAGUCAGAAACGCUCCGGCGCCAUAGGAUGUGGCUGCGGCCGAUUAGGUAGACGGUGGGGUAACGGCCCACCGUGCCCAUAAUCGGUACGGGUUGUGAGAGCAAGAGCCCGGAGACGGUAUCUGAGACAAGAUACCGGGCCCUACGGGGCGCAGCAGGCGCGAAACCUUUACACUGCACGAAAGUGCGAUAAGGGGACUCCAAGUGCGAGGGCAUAUAGUCCUCGCUUUUCACUACCGUAAGGAGGUAGUAGAAUAAGUGCUGGGCAAGACCGGUGCCAGCCGCCGCGGUAAUACCGGCAGCACAAGUGAUGACCGCUCUUAUUGGGCCUAAAGCGUCCGUAGCUGGCCACGCAAGUCUAUCGGGAAAUCCGCGCGCUCAACGCGCGGGCGUCCGGUGGAAACUGUGUGGCUUGGGACCGGAAGAUCCAGAGGGUACGUCUGGGGUAGGAGUGAAAUCCCGUAAUCCUGGACGGACCACCGGUGGCGAAAGCGCUCUGGAAAGACGGAUCCGACGGUGAGGGACGAAAGCUCGGGUCACGAACCGGAUUAGAUACCCGGGUAGUCCGAGCUGUAAACGAUGUCUGCUAGAUGUGCCACAGGCUACGAGCCUGUGUGUGUCGUAGGGAAGCCGUGAAGCAGACCGCCUGGGAGUACGUCCGCAGGAUGAAACUUAA